rnacentral:lncRNA from 7 species
AUGGUUAGCUCAUGGUUAAAGGAAGAACUGUGCACCUCCUGCUAGCUCCUGGUACUUCCUAGUGCUGAUGUUAGUGCUACAGUGCUGUUUUAGAAGACUGUCGCUUACGGGAAGGAUCUGACAAAGUUAGAUGAGUCCAAAGUUCUCAGGGCUUCAUUUUCCUGCAUGUGGGCUCCAUCCAAAAGUGCACAGGAAAGUGGCAUUUGAGAUUGAAGUGCUAGUGGGAUAGCAAAAGGAGCUGGAGGAGAGAACAGGCUCUUAGGAGGUGUUCAGAGCCAAAGGAACUGGAAGUGAGAAAUUGCACCUUUUAAUUGCAUGUUAGCAAUUGCCAUGGUUUUUCGCUGUGCUGUUGGUGAAAUGGGAAAAGACAUGGCCAAAGUUGUUCUGGAGAGUUAGGCACAAGUGAAGACAGAAGAAAGGUAAGCAGGAGACAGCAGUGUGCUCAAAUGUUUCCUGGAAAAUGUGUGUGCAGAAAGAAGGAAGCAAGGAGACAGCAGAGGGCAGAACAAAAGACAAGCUGUGAUGCGUGAGUAGGAAACAUUUUCGGAAAAACCAACUCAUACAAGAGCUUAAAAUCCAAACGGUCCCUUCUCCUUGUGGAUGCUGAAGAGGUUGGGGUAUUUACUGAUGUUGGGGUAGAUUUCAUGGUGACAGUGUCCAUAAUUCCAUGGCAGGAGCUCUGAACUGAUUUCUCUUUCACAGUCUCAUGCACACACAAAAAAGUUGGUGUAGACCACUCCUACUUCUCUGAGGAACCAUGGAGAAGAGGGCUGUCGGUCUCUGCCAAGCUCCUGAGUCCUGCAAUCUUUGUUGUACCUGGUCUUUUUGUAGACCACAAAGGGUUUUUUUUUUUCUUCUCAUAUCUGUGUAUCUCUGUGUUGCCUGGCACAGCUGAGAAUCCCUGACAUACAUGGCUCCGUGUCAAAGGUUCUUUUCUGCUUCAUAUGGAAGAUGAUUCUCUGUGAGAAUAAGUGGCAAUGUACUGUAUUUGCAUCUUAUCAGCCACUUCUGACUUGAGGUUGUAAUAAUGGAACUUUUAUGAUGCAAAUUGCUACAUGGAAGGUCCAUAGAAAAUCAAUUGCUAGAUAUUUUAACAUCUUGUUUAAAAUAAAAAUUAUUUCAGAAAG